ensembl:snoRNA LOC120099499 small nucleolar RNA SNORA17
CCUGCCCCUAGAGGCUUUGCAAGUGUGGCUACCAUGUCACAUGUGUAUCACUGGGUGACAAAGAAGAGAGAAGGUAUGUUUAUACUCACUGCUCUGCUCUAAGAACUUCUGAAUGAUUACCAGCCUAAAAUU